UGGGGAAUUUUGGACAAUGGGCGCAAGCCUGAUCCAGCAAUGCCGCGUGCAGGAUGAAGGCCUUCGGGUUGUAAACUGCUUUUGUACGGAGCGAAAAGGUCUGCCCUAAUACGGUGGGCUCAUGACGGUACCGUAAGAAUAAGCACCGGCUAACUACGUGCCAGCAGCCGCGGUAAUACGUAGGGUGCAAGCGUUAAUCGGAAUUACUGGGCGUAAAGCGUGCGCAGGCGGUUAUGUAAGACAGAUGUGAAAUCCCCGGGCUCAACCUGGGACCUGCAUUUGUGACUGCAUAGCUAGAGUACGGCAGAGGGGGAUGGAAUUCCGCGUGUAGCAGUGAAACGCGUAGAUAUGCGGAGGAACGCCGAUGGCGAAGGCAGCCCCCUGGGAUAACACUGACGCUCAUGCACGAAAUCGUGGGGAGCAAACA
rnacentral:rRNA from 1 species